UAACGUUUUAGCAGUCUCUAAACCUGGUGACGUGCAACUGUUUGUUAAAGAUUUUGGGUGUAUGAAUCUUAGAAAGAAAUUUAGAGAAUAGUUUAUUUGGGUUAUUUUGGGUAUUUAAAUUAUUUAUUUUAUUUUUGGUAUUUGACUUUGUUAUUACGGUUACUUUAUUUUACUUUAUAUUAUUACCCUAUAUGAGAAUUAUUAGGUGCUCUUUGUCAUUAGUUUUAUAUUUUG
rnacentral:misc_RNA from 1 species